CUAACGUAGGCCGCCGCAAAAUAUAUUUUGAUUUUUUCCGUUUCGAUCGAAAUAGGAGCAUAUAGACAAAACGAAACAGAAUGUCACUUUGAAACAGUUAGUUCAUCAAGCUAACCGAUUUGAUUUUUGUCUUAAAAACUACACAGUUUUAAUAAUUUAAAUUAAAAUGAAACUAUUCUGUGUAUUUAUAUCAUUGUUGUUUAUAAUUGUUUCGGCAUACGAUCUAAUGGACUAUAAGAGGGAUGUUUUCAUUGCAAACCUACUCAUCCAGAAAGCUAGUGAAAUUAAAUAUCAAAAUAGAAAUGGACUGGAGUAUCUCAUUGAAAUAAUUGUUUAUGAC